CCUACGGGAGGCUGCAGUGGGGAAUAUUGCACAGUGGGCGCAAGCCUGAUGCAGCCAUGCCGCGUGUGUGAAGAAGGCCUUCGGGUUGUAAAGCACUUUCAGCGGGGAGGAAGGCGGUGAGGUUAAUAACCUCAUCGAUUGACGUUACCCGCAGAAGAAGCACCGGCUAACUCCGUGCCAGCAGCCGCGGUAAUACGGAGGGUGCAAGCGUUAAUCGGAAUUACUGGGCGUAAAGCGCACGCAGGCGGUCUGUCAAGUCGGAUGUGAAAUCCCCGGGCUCAACCUGGGAACUGCAUUCGAAACUGGCAGGCUAGAGUCUUGUAGAGGGGGGUAGAAUUCCAGGUGUAGCGGUGAAAUGCGUAGAGAUCUGGAGGAAUACCGGUGGCGAAGGCGGCCCCCUGGACAAAGACUGACGCUCAGGUGCGAAAGCGUGGGGAGCAAACAGGAUUAGAUACCCCAGUAGUC
rnacentral:rRNA from 1 species